GGGGUUGUGGCUCAGUGGUAGAGCUCUUGUCUUGCAUGUGUAAGACAAAUGGGUUCAAUUCUCAACACCA
rnacentral:tRNA from 1 species